rnacentral:tRNA from 1 species
GUGGCUGUGGCUCAGUGGUAGUGCGCUUGCCUGGCAUGUGUGAGGCACUGAGUUCAAUUCUCAGCACCACA